GACGAACGCUGGCGGCGUGCUUAACACAUGCAAGUCGAACGGAAAGGCCCUGCUUUUGUGGGGUGCUCGAGUGGCGAACGGGUGAGUAAAACGUGAGUAACAUGCCCUUGACUUUGGGAUAAAUUCAGGAAACUGGGGAUAAUACAGGAUAGGAGAUCCUGAUGCACGGUGGGGGUAGGAAAGUUUCGGCGGUUUGGGAUGGAAUAGAGGCUUAUCAGCUUGAUGGUGGGGUAGUGGAUUUCCAGUGUUUUGACGGGUAGCCGGCCUUGGAGGGGUGCCGGCCUCCUUGGUACUGAGAGACGGCCCAGACUCCUACGGUAGGCAGCAGUCGAGAAUAUUGCGCAAUAGGCGGAAGCCUGAGGCAGCAACGCCGCGUGCGUGAUGACGGCCUUCGAGUUGUAAACCUCUGUCGCCUGUGACGAAGCGUGAGUGACGGUAAUUGGUAAAGAAGCACCGGCUAACUACGUG
rnacentral:rRNA from 1 species